GCCGGGUGUGGUGGCUCACGCCUGUAAUCCCAGCACUUUGGGAGGCUGAGGCGGGCAGAUCACCUGAGGUCAGGAGUUCGAGACCAGCCUGGCCAACAUGGUGAAUGCCUGUCUCUA
rnacentral:SRP_RNA from 1 species